rnacentral:rRNA from 1 species
GACGAACGCUGGCGGCGUGCCUAAUACAUGCAAGUCGAACGCUUCUUUCCUCCCGAGUGCUUGCACUCAAUUGGAAAGAGGAGUGGCGGACGGGUGAGUAACACGUGGGUAACCUACCCAUCAGAGGGGGAUAACACUUGGAAACAGGUGCUAAUACCGCAUAACAGUUUAUGCCGCAUGGCAUAAGAGUGAAAGGCGCUUUCGGGUGUCGCUGAUGGAUGGACCCGCGGUGCCUUAGCUAGUUGGUGAGGUAACGGCUCACCAAGGCCACGAUGCAUAGCCGACCUGAGAGGGUGAUCGGCCACACUGGGACUGAGACACGGCCCAGACUCCUACGGGAGGCAGCAGUAGGGAAUCUUCGGCAAUGGACGAAAGUCUGACCGAGCAACGCCGCGUGAGUGAAGAAGGUUUUCGGAUCGUAAAACUCUGUUGUUAGUGAAGAACAAGGACGUUAGUAACUGAACGUCCCCUGACGGUAUCUAACCAGAAAGCCACGGCUAACUACGUG